GAGGGCGGCCGCCAUUUUGAAACGAACAGACUCCAAAAGCACGCUCCACUGGGCCUGCCCCUGCGAUCUUAAAACAGAUGUCCGUGAAAUGUGACCCAUGAAUAGCAGUUAUCUGGAGAGAGAGCUCUGAAGCUGAUGAAACCAUUAGAGCCACUGAAGGCACCUGGUAAAUGCGAUGCGGGGAGUACAGAAGAGAGAAUCAGAAACACACCGGCACUCUCAUUCCCAUGAGGCCACUUACAGUGGGUAAAACGUCGCUUGAGAAGAGCGGCCUAAAAACAAGAACGUCUGCCCUCUUCCUUCUUAACCAAGACUGAGAUGAGGACAAGUCAGACCCUUCAGACCCAUCGUUUCAGGGACCAGCAGCUCCAGCCUGAAUGAGAAGCACGUCCUCCUGGGAGUUACGUCAGCAGCCUGACCUUCCAUCUUCCUCCUCUAAAGAAGCGUCCCUGCCACCCUGAGCACGAAGCCCUCGGGUUCCUAAAGGCCGAGGCGCUUCUUCUCAUUUACUUCCCUUGAGGAAGAAAGACCAGCCCAUCCACCCUCAUUUCCCACCGAAGGGCAUCGCAAAUAAAGUUUGCCCACGCAACCAGGCCACCACCAUUAAUUUCUCUCUGCCCUGCUCUUACAUUCUCCUCAAGGUUUUCAGUCCCCUAGAGAGGCUCCCUUCCCUCUUUUCUUUCCUUCCUCCAGCCCCCCUUUUCACCUCCCUCCACCAUUGUUUGAGGUUAAGAAGCAUGCUACGGUGUUCUAUAAAUCACUUGGCAAGAGUAGACGACAAAAGCAAAAUAUAAUUCAGAUUAAAGUCAUCCUCCCGCUGAAAUGAUAGUUUCUUAAAUAAAUGGCGAUGCUGCCUAUCAAUCUUGCUGGCAACUGGUCCUCUCAUAUUCAUCUUUCUGGGGGUGAUUUAGGAUCCACCUGGGUCCUCCGAGAAGAUUCUCCCAUCAUUUCCUUCCCGUCUCUCUGGAUCUUGCUGCUGGGCUUGGCGCAGUUGACAAAUUCUCCAAGUAAUCCCUCAAAAGAUUGGAGAAAUGCUCCGAACGCUCCAUUAAACUUAUUUUCCAUGCUUUAAGAGACCCAAAA
rnacentral:lncRNA from 1 species